UGUUGGGUCAGUAUUUAAGGUGUUGGGUCAGUAUUUAAGGUGUUGGGUCAGUAUUUAAGGUGUUGGGUCCUUACUUGUGAUGGGUGCAGAGUGAUGAGGUACCAGGAAGUAGAGUUAGGUCAGUAUUUAAGGUGUUGGGUCAGUAUUUAAGGUGUUGGGUCAGUAUUUAAGGUGUUGGGUCAGUAUUUAAGGUGUUGGGUCCUUACUUGUGAUGGGUGCAGAGUGAUGAGGUACCAGGAAGUAGAGUUAGGUCAGUAUUUAAGGUGUUGGGUCAGUAUUUAAGGUGUUGGGUCAGUAUUUAAGGUGUUGGGUCGGUAUUUAAGGUGUUGGGUCAGUA